rnacentral:lncRNA from 13 species
AUGUUUUACCCGACAUUUUGCGGUUGCAUGAUGCUUGAAGUAAUUUCUCGCCAGGGACCAGGCCAAUAUUUGAUUUUUGAUGGGAAGUUUAGCUAUUUACAAAGGAAAAGGUACAUCAAAUAUUGCGUCCUACACCUCACGGACUGCUAUGUGUUCCACAAUAUUUCACUGUUGCCUCCUUUUUCAGGUAUUAUGGCUCGAGAUAUCUUUGAGGAAGAAAUCAUCAAGAGAUAUGCAGGACCCUACGUCAGAGAGGUGUUUCUGGGACCAUAUCAUUUCUUUCAAGGCAAUGACCCAACACACACUGCCGCUGAUAACGGUUUUCGUCCUCCUCUUCUGAGGAAGAGUAAGAAGGAUCGGACCAAUACGCAGAGUAAGUGCACCUCCUCCCACCCCCGCUCAGACGAUCCCGCAGAUGAAGAAGCCGGAUGUGGAGGUCCUGGGCUGGAGUGGUUACUCGGGGUCUGCGGUUUUGAGGCCGGUUGGAUGUACUGCCAAAAUCUCUAA